rnacentral:rRNA from 1 species
AUUGAACGCUGGCGGCAUGCUUUACACAUGCAAGUCGAACGGCAGCGCGGGCUUCGGCCUGGCGGCGAGUGGCGAACGGGUGAGUAAUGCAUCGGAACGUGCCCAGUAGUGGGGGAUAGCCCGGCGAAAGCCGGAUUAAUACCGCAUACGACCCGAGGGUGAAAGCGGGGGACCGAAAGGCCUCGCGCUAUUGGAGGGGCCGAUGUCGGAUUAGCUAGUUGGUGGGGUAAAGGCUUACCAAGGCGACGAUCCGUAGCUGGUCUGAGAGGACGACCAGCCACACUGGGACUGAGACACGGCCCAGACUCCUACGGGAGGCAGCAGUGGGGAAUUUUGGACAAUGGGGGCAACCCUGAUCCAGCCAUGCCGCGUGCGGGAAGAAGGCCUUCGGGUUGUAAACCGCUUUUGUUCGGGAAGAAAUCCUCUGGGCUAAUACCCCGGGGGGAUGACGGUACCGGAAGAAUAAGCACCGGCUAACUACGUG